rnacentral:tRNA from 1 species
GGGGCCGUAGCUCAAUUGAUCUCGGUAACCCCGAAGAGAGCGUCCCGAUUACAAUCGGGAAGGUUGCAGGUUCGAGUCCUGUCGGCCCCA